GGCUCAGGAUGAACGCUAGCGGCAGGCUUAAUACAUGCAAGUCGUGGGGCAGCAUGAGUAGCAAUACUUGAUGGCGACCGGCAAACGGGUGAGGAACACGUACACAACCUUCCUUCAAGCGGGGAAUAGCCCAGAGAAAUUUGGAUUAAUACCCCAUAAUAUAUUUGAUAAGGCAUCUUAUUAAUAUUAAAGCUUCGGCACUUGAUGAUGGGUGUGCGGCUGAUUAGAUAGUUGGCGGGGUAACGGCCCACCAAGUCUACGAUCAGUAGCUGAUGUGAGAGCAUGAUCAGCCACACGGGCACUGAGACACGGGCCCGACUCCUACGGGAGGCAGCAGUAAGGAAUAUUGGACAAUGGACGAAAGUCUGAUCCAGCCAUGCCGCGUGAAGGAUUAAGGUCCUCUGGAUUGUAAACUUCUUUUAUAUGGGACGAAAAAAGGGCAUUCUUGCCCACUUGACGGUACCAUAUGAAUAAGCACCGGCUAACUCCGUG
rnacentral:rRNA from 1 species